CUGGCAGCCUAGGAAUAGGGAUUAGGGAAGGGUGAGCUUUUGAUUCAAUGAUGGCCGCCAAAAGGGGAAGGGUCGUCAUCUGUCAUCACUCUAUCAUAAUUAUCAAGAUAAAUGGAGACAAAGCACAAAAAUAAAAAUCACCUUGGACUGGGAUCAAGGUGUUGCAAUAUACAAUGUCCUCUGAGGUUUAAUGGAAUUGGAAGCUUAAUGAAAUAAUGUGCUGAAUUGUUGACUUUUGAUCAGAAAGUAGUAACAAACGACACUAGUAAAAACAAAGUAUAUUUUGAAGAAGUAAUAUGUAUGUCUGUAGGAUUCGUUCAUUGCCGUCACCAUUCUCAAUGUGAUGCUACAUUAGAAGAGAAAAAAUAUAAGAGUAUGGCUUUUUACGUUGUCGUUAAAGGAAGGAAACGAGGUAUCUUUCGUUCAUGGCCUGAGUGUGAGUCUCAAGUAGAUGGUUAUCCUGGCUGUUUCUUCAAGAAAUUCACCAUUAGUAACUUUGGAUGUCGAGAGAAGGCUUCUGCAUCAGCAGCUCUCGAGUAUAAAAAACAUACAGCCAAUAAAAGACUCAGUGACAAAGAAGGAAGAACUUAUUUUGCAGUAGCAGAAGGCAAAGACAAAGUUACUGGAAUAUUUUUUAAGAAGGAAGACUGUGAUAUGCAUGUGAAUUGUUCAUUUCCCAUAUACAAGGGCUUUGAGACCCUACAAGAAGCAGCUGCAUUCAUAAUAUCUUGUUUGCAACAAAGAGCAGUGGAAUUCAAAAAGCAGUGUCCAGUUCGUUCAGAUAGAGUUCGUGAUUUACGAAAUUUACCCACUAGAUUUUUCAAGUGGCCUUUCCACGUCGAUAGUGAGGGAUUCGUGCAAGUGUAUGUUGACGGAUCUUGUUUCGAGAACGGGAAAAAUGGGGCAAAAGCUGGACUCGGGGUGUUCUUCGGGACUGGACAUGCGAUGAAUGUCAGCAAAGCUGUUCAAUCCGAUAGCACGCAAUCCAACAAUUCUGGGGAAUUGCAGGCCGUCAAAGAAGCCCUUCGAGUAGCUAAGCAAUGUGGGAUAAAGAAACUCAAGAUUCAUUCCGAUUCCCAGUACGUCAUUAAAUGCUUCAAAUAUUGGGUAAAAAGUUGGCAAGCUAAAGGAUGGACGACAUCUGCAUCGACACCUGUUAAAAACCAAAAGGUUAUCGAAGAAAUCUGCGACAUAUGGAAUUCCGAAAACAUUCAGAUCGAAUGGAAUUUCGUUCCAGCCCAUAGAGGGAUCAGGGGCAACGAAGCCGCAGAUAGACUUGCUAAAAUCGGGGCGAAGCGUGCUGUCCGCGGUACUCCUUAUUAACCUUCCACCACAUGGUCCCUUAUCGUUAUCAGUCAAGUGCUGCGUCAGAUUGUUUUGACGGGAAAGAUAGCCUACUAGGUAGAAGAAACCCGUUCUUCCGACGGCUACACUUCUCGGAAUACGGAACUUGAAAGUGUAGAGAAUUGGAAAUUUUUAUCUUGAAAAGGGAAGAGCGUUUUUUCUCAGAACCGACAAGUCACGAGUACGUAAUUUACGAACGAGGGACCACUACAGCUUUAAAGCCACUGUAGCCCACUGUAAAUCCAUUGAUGGGGUCUAAACUCGGAAGAGGCUCAUUUUGUACAGGUUCAAAUCGAAACUUUUUGAUCAAAGCAGCCGUGAAGAGAAAAUAGCAAAGAAUUGUUCCGUUGAUUAAUACCAAUGCCAAACGGAUAGAAGUGAUCACUUUUAAUCACUUUCGUGCCAUCUUCAUUCAAAUGGCGUUC